rnacentral:rRNA from 1 species
GACGAACGCUGGCGGCGUGCCUAAUACAUGCAAGUAGAACGCUGAAGGAGGAGCUUGCUUCUCUGGAUGAGUUGCGAACGGGUGAGUAACGCGUAGGUAACCUGCCUGGUAGCGGGGGAUAACUAUUGGAAACGAUAGCUAAUACCGCAUAAUAUUGACUAUUGCAUGAUAGUCAGUUGAAAGGUGCAACUGCACCACUACCAGAUGGACCUGCGUUGUAUUAGCUAGUUGGUGGGGUAACGGCUCACCAAGGCGACGAUACAUAGCCGACCUGAGAGGGUGAUCGGCCACACUGGGACUGAGACACGGCCCAGACUCCUACGGGAGACAGCAGUAGGGAAUCUUCGGCAAUGGACGGAAGUCUGACCGAGCAACGCCGCGUGAGUGAAGAAGGUUUUCGGAUCGUAAAGCUCUGUUGUAAGAGAAGAACGAGUGUGAGAGUGGAAAGCUCACACUGUGACGGUAUCUGACCAGAAAGGGACGGCUAACUACGUG